AUUCCUACGGGAGGCAGCAGGGGGGAAUAUUGGACAAUGGACCAAAAGUCUGAUCCAGCAAUUCUGUGUGCACGAUGAAGGUCUUCGGAUUGUAAAGUGCUUUCAGUUGGGAAGAAGAAAGUGACGGUACCAACAGAAGAGGCGACGGCUAAAUACGUGCCAGCAGCCGCGGUAAUAAU
rnacentral:rRNA from 1 species